GGGGCGUCCCCUUUGAGAGAGGCCCCCGGGGGUUUUUUAUUUUGUGUGGAAAAGUAACGGCCCUCCACAGGGGGGUUUAAUUUGUCCCCCCCCUGGAGGAGGUUAUUCGGCCCACUUGGGGAAUUAGAACCCGGGCCCCAAAUUUCUUGGGGGGAGGCAGCCAGUAGGGAAUUUUUCCCACAAUGGACGAAAAUUUUGAAGGAGCAACCCCCGCUUGAAUGAUGAAGGGUUUCGGCUUCGUAAAACUUCUGUUGUUGGAGAAGAACAGGUGUCAGAGUAACUGUUGACAUCUUGACGGUAUCCAACCAGAAAGCCAGGGCUAACUACGUGCCAGCAGCCGCGGUAAUACGUAGGUGGCAAGCGUUGUCCGGAUUUAUUGGGCGUAAAGCGAGCGCCGGGCGGUUUUUUUAGGUUUGAUGUGAAAGCCUUUGGCUUAACCGGAGAAGUGCAUCGGAAACCGGGAGACUUGAGUGCAGAAGAGGACAGUGGAACUCCAUGUGUAGCGGUGAAAUGCGUAGAUAUAUGGAAGAACACCAGUGGCGAAGGCGGCUGUCUGGUCUGUAACUGACGCUGAGGCUCGAAAGCAUGGGUAGCGAACAGGAUUAGAUACCCUGGUAGUCCAUGCCGUAAACGAUGAGUGCUAAGUGUUGGAGGGUUUCCGCCCUUCAGUGCUGCAGCUAACGCAUUAAGCACUCCGCCUGGGGAGUACGACCGCAAGGUUGAAACUCAAAGGAAUUGACGGGGGCCCGCACAAGCGGUGGAGCAUGUGGUUUAAUUCGAUGCUACGCGAAGAACCUUACCAGGUCUUGACAUCUUCUGCCAACCUAAGAGAUUAGGCGUUCCCUUCGGGGACAGAAUGACAGGUGGUGCAUGGUUGUCGUCAGCUCGUGUCGUGAGAUGUUGGGUUAAGUCCCGCAACGAGCGCAACCCUUAUUGUUAGUUGCCAGCAUUCAGUUGGGCACUCUAGCAAGACUGCCGGUGACAAACCGGAGGAAGGUGGGGAUGACGUCAAAUCAUCAUGCCCCUUAUGACCUGGGCUACACACGUGCUACAAUGGACGGUACAACGAGUCGCGAAACCGCGAGGUCAAGCUAAUCUCUUAAAGCCGUUCUCAGUUCGGAUUGUAGGCUGCAACUCGCCUACAUGAAGUUGGAAUCGCUAGUAAUCGUGGAUCAGCAUGCCACGGUGAAUACGUUCCCGGGCCUUGUACACACCGCCCGUCACACCAUGAGAGUUUGUAACACCCAAAGCCGGUGAGGUAACCUUCGGGGACCAGCCGUCUAAGUGACAGAAAAUUGGU
rnacentral:rRNA from 2 species